AACAGGAUUAGAUACCCUGGUAGUCCACGCCGUAAACGAUGUCUACUAGCCGUUGGGACUCUUGAAGUCUUAGUGGCGCAGCUAACGCACUAAGUAGACCGCCUGGGGAGUACGGCCGCAAGGUUAAAACUCAAAUGAAUUGACGGGGGCCCGCACAAGCGGUGGAGCAUGUGGUUUAAUUCGACGCAACGCGAAGAACCUUACCUGGCCUUGACAUGCAGAGAACUUUCCAGAGAUGGAUUGGUGCCUUCGGGAACUCUGACACAGGUGCUGCAUGGCCGUCGUCAGCUCGUGUCGUGAGAUGUUGGGUUAAGUCCCGUAACGAGCGCAACCCCUAUCCCUAGUUGCUAGCAGUUCGGCUGAGAACUCUAGGGAGACUGCCGGUGACAAACCGGAGGAAGGUGGGGAUGACGUCAGGUCAUCAUGGCCCUUACGGCCAGGGCUACACACGUGCUACAAUGGCGCGCACAGAGGGCUGCAAACCCGCGAGGGGGAGCCAAUCUCACAAAACGCGUCGUAGUCCGGAUCGCAGUCUGCAACUCGACUGCGUGAAGUCGGAAUCGCUAGUAAUCGCGUAACAGCAUGACGCGGUGAAUACGUUCCCGGGCCUUGUACACACCGCCCGUCACACCAUGGGAGUUGGUUCUACCUGACGGCCGUGCGCUAACCUUCGGGAGGCAGCGGACCACGGUAGGAUCAGCGACUGGGGUGAAGUCGGAACAAGGUAGCCGUAGGGG
rnacentral:rRNA from 14 species